AUUGAACGCUGGCGGCAGGCCUAACACAUGCAAGUCGAACGAGUGGCGGACGGGUGAGUAAUGUCUGGGAAACUGCCUGAUGGAGGGGGAUAACUACGGGAAACGGUAGCUAAUACCGCAUACCAUCGGAUGUGCCCAAAUGGGAUUAGCUUGUUGGUGGGGUAACGGCUCACCAAGGCGACGAUCCCUAGCUGGUCUGAGAGGAUGACCAGCCACACGGGAACUGAGACACGGUCCAGACUCCUACGGGAGGCAGCAGUGGGGAAUAUUGCGCAAUGGGGGCAAGCCUGAUGCAGCCAUGCCGCGUGUAUGAAGAAGGCCUUCGGGUUGUAAAGUACUUUCAGUGGGGAGGCGUUAACCGCAGAAGAAGCACCGGCUAACUCCGUGCCAGCCGCCGCGGUAAUAC
rnacentral:rRNA from 1 species